GGGUUCAUGGCCUAAUGGUAAGGCGUCAGAUUUCGGUCCAAUCAACGGUUCUCUGAAGAUUGCAGGUUCGAUCCCUGCUGAGCUCG